rnacentral:rRNA from 1 species
AUUGAACGCUGGCGGCAUGCUUUACACAUGCAAGUCGAACGGUAACAGGCCGCAAGGUGCUGACGAGUGGCGAACGGGUGAGUAAUGCAUCGGAACGUGCCCAGACGUGGGGGAUAACGCAGCGAAAGCUGUGCUAAUACCGCAUACGAUCUAUGGAUGAAAGCGGGGGAUCGUAAGGCCUCGCGCGAUUGGAGCGGCCGAUGUCAGAUUAGGUAGUUGGUGGGGUUAUGGGCUACCAAGACGACGAUCUGUAGCUGGUCUGAGAGGACGACCAGCCAACCUGGGAGUGAGUCACGGCCGAGACUCCUACGGGGGGCAGGAGUGUGAAAUUUUGGACAAUGGGCGCAAGUCUGACACGGCAAUGCGGGGUGUAGCAAGAAGGCCUUCGGGUUGUGAACUGCUUUUGUACGGAACGAAACGGACUGGGUUGAUACCCCGGGCUAUUGACGGUACCGUACGAAUAGGCACCGGCUAACUACGUGCCAGCAGCCGCGGUAAAAC